AAGUCGGUCAUAAUGAAAGGAAAACGCCGCCCACAUCUCGACACCAAAUACGCAGUGUGAUUAAUAAACAAAUUUGUAUAUAUUGUACACACGAGUUGUCACGUCUUUGCAUGCCGCACGCGCGGCA
rnacentral:lncRNA from 1 species